rnacentral:rRNA from 1 species
UACGUAGGGGGCAAGCGUUGUCCGGAAUCAUUGGGCGUAAAGAGCGUGUAGGCGGCCUGAUAAGUCGGCUGUGAAAGUCAAGGGCUCAACCCUUGAAUGCCGGCCGAUACUGUCAGGCUAGAGUCCGGAAGAGGCGAGUGGAAUUCCUGGUGUAGCGGUGAAAUGCGCAGAUAUCAGGAGGAACACCGGUGGCGAAGGCGGAUCUCUGGACCAGUUCUGACACUGAUGAGCGAAAGCCAGGGGAGCAAACAGG